GUUAAAAAGCUCGUAGUUGGAUUUCUGGGAGGGUGCCAAUGUCCGUUGUGUACGAGUGCAGCGGCGCCCUUCCAUCCUUCUGUUAACGCCUCUCCGCAUUCAUUUGCUGGUGGCGGGCUCAGAUAUUUUACCUUGAGAAAAUUAGAGUGUUUCAGGCAGGCAUCGCACGGAAUACAUUAGCAUGGAAUAAUGGAAUAGGACUACGGUCUCUUUGUUGGUUUGAGGGACAGCAGUAAUGAUUAAUAGGGAUAGUUGGGGGCAUUAGUAUUUAAUUGUCAGAGGUGGAAUUCUCAGAUUUGUUAAAGACUAACUUAUGCGAAAGCAUUUGCCAAGGAUGUUUUCAUUAAUCAAGAACGAAAGUUAGGGGAUCAAAGACGAUCAGAUACCGUCCUAGUCUUAACCAUAAACUAUGCCGACUCGGGAUCGGGGGCGC
rnacentral:rRNA from 1 species